GAUCUUUGCAUGUUCUGUCCAGCAAGUUCUCUCUCCAUGAAGACCAUACCACCUAAAGUGACCCCAUCUCAGUCUGUCUGUUGGUAGACCUCCUGCAAUCAACUGAAGGCCUGAAUAAAACAAAAGACUGGCCUCCUCCCAAGCAAGAGAAUCGCCCAACAGAUUACUAAGCAAUACUUUUUAAUUGUGUGAUCUGUUGAGUUGGGACCAUGUCAACCGAUAGUAAUGACAUUCAGAAAAUUUUCUAUAGUACAAUUUAGUAACACUUCAGCCUUGUUUGGAACAUUUUGGUAAGUCUAUUUUCACUAAUUCUUGCCUUUUGUCUUUCAUUGCAGUGAAAAUUUGACAUAUCCCCAGACUGGACUGAGUGAGCUGCUUUAGGAAGCUGUAUGUUUUUGGAAUUUAAUUCAAAUUUAAAUGAGGUUUCCUGCAUGUUUGGACAUUAUACCUCAGAGCCGUGGGUGCCAGAGCCCUGUCCUAUGAAUGUGUCUCUUCUGAAAAUUGCUCUAGGGAUUGGUUUUACUGAUUGGACAAAAAAUAUUUUGAACCAAUUAUAACAAAAUAGCUCAUUUCUCUUUUAUAUACAUCAUGCAAUGUCUUCACAAUCAGAUUAUGAGAUCUCUAAUUACAGAAGAGGAUUUUUAUAUUUCCUACUAGCAAACAUUUGUCCACAAAAGUUAUGAAAAACAGCUGUUAUCUGGAAUGUGGCUUGAAAUAUAUCCUGUUACUCUAAAAUGGUAUUGAUAUGAUUUAUAGUUGUCCUAUUGCAGCGAUUUUAUAAGAACUCAAUCCACAGCUCUUCUAACAUGUCUUGACAGCUUUAUUGAGAUACAAUUUACACAUUAAAAAACUGCAUGCAUUUAAUAUGUACAAUUUGAAUAUUUUUGGCAUAUCUAUGCCCAUAGGAAUUUAUCAUCUACAACCAAGAAAAUCAACAUCUCCAUCAGUCCCCUAAAUUUUCUUCUGUCCCUAUGUAAUCCCUCUUCCUACCUGCCAUCACUAGGUGGUAUGGGCUAAAUUGUGCACUGCCCAUCCCCUCCCCUCCCAUUUUAUAUGUUGAAGUCCUAAUCCCUAGCACCUCAAAACAUGACUGUGUUUGGAAACAGGCCUUCAAAGAGGUGAUUAAGCUACAACAAGGCUGUUAGGAUGAACCCUAAUCUGAUCUGACUGGUGUUCCUAUAAGAAAAGAAAAUUAAGACACACAAAGAGAUACCAGGGUAUAUUUACACAUAGAGGAGACCGCGUGAGGUACAAAGAGAGAAGGCAGCCAUCUGCAAGCUAACAAAAGAAAUCUCAGAAUGAAAUCAACCCACCAACACCUGAUUUCAGACUUCUAGCUUCUGAAACUGAGAGAAAAUAUCUGUUGUUUAAACCAUCAGUCUGUGGUACUUUCUUAGAGCAGCCCUAGCAAACUAUCAUACCAGGCAACCACUGACUAGCCUUCUGUCACUAUAGAUUAGAUUGUAUUUUCUGGAAUUUUAUAUAAAUGUACUCUUUUGGUCUGGCUUGUUUCAUUCAGUAUAAGUUAUUUGAGAUCCAUCCAUGUUGGGUUGUAUCAAUAAUUCAUUCCUUUUUAUUAUUAAUAUUUUGUUGAAUGGAUAUACCACAGUUUAUUCAUCCAUUUAUUUGUUACUGGACAUUUAGGUUGUUUUCUGGUUGAACUGUUACAAAUCAAGCUUCUAUGGACAUUUAUUUACAAGUCUUUUAUGAAUAUGUGCUUUCUUUGAUCUUGGGUAAAUAUCCAAGGUUGGAAUGGCUGGGUCAUAUGAUAGGAGUAUGCUAACCUCUUUAAGAAACUGCUAAACUAUUUUCCAAAAAUUGUACCAUUUUACAUUCCCACCAGCAGUCUUUGAGAGCUCCAGUUGCUCCGUAUCUUUGCCUAAAACUAGUAUGGUCCAUCUUUUUUAAUGUAAUUGUUCUAAUAGGUAUAUAACAGUAUGCUAUUGUGCUUUUUAAAUUUGCAUUGUAUUAUGACAGUGGUAUUGAUGAUCAUCUUUUCAUUGCUUAUUUACCGAAGUACAUCUUUUUUGGUAAAGUGUUUACAUUUUUGCAUUCUUUUUUGAGUUGUUUUUUUAUUACUGAGUUUUGCAGUUUUUAAGUAUAUUCUGAACCCAAGUUCUUAAUCAAAUAAAUGACUUGAAA
rnacentral:lncRNA from 10 species